GACAGGAGGAUGCAAGCGUUAUCCGGAAUGAUUGGGCGUAAAGCGUCUGUAGGUGGCUUUUUAAGUCCGCCGUCAAAUCCCAGGGCUCAACCUGGACAGGCGGUGGAAACUCCAAGCUGGAGUACGGUAGGGGCAGAGGGAAUUUCCGGUGGAGCGGUGAAAGUGCGUAGAGAUCGGAAAGAACACCAACGGCGAAAGCACUCUGCUGGGCCGACACUGACACUGAGAGACAAAGCUAGGGGGAGCGAAAUGGG
rnacentral:rRNA from 1 species